CCUACGGGUGGCAGCAGUGAGGAAUAUUGGUCAAUGGGCGCGAGCCUGAACCAGCCAAGUCGCGUGAGGGAAGACGGUCCUAUGGAUUGUAAACCUCUUUUGUCGGGGAGCAAAAGACGCCACGUGUGGCGUUCCGAGAGUACCCGAAGAAAAAGCAUCGGCUAACUCCGUGCCAGCAGCCGCGGUAAUACGGAGGAGGCAAGCGUUAUCCGGAAUGACUGGGCGUAAAGGGUGCGUAGGUGGGUUGACAAGUUGGUAGCGUAACUCCGGGGCUCAACCUCGGCACUACUACCAAAACUGGCGGGCUUGAGUGCAGGAGAGGCGAAUAGAAUUCCUGGUGUAGCGGUGGAAUGCGUAGAUAUUAGGAGGAACACCAGUGGCGAAGGCGGUUUGCUGGACUGUAACUGACACUGAGGCACGAAAGCGUGGGGAGCAAACAGGAUUAGAUACCCCUGUAGUC
rnacentral:rRNA from 1 species